ensembl:ncRNA asRNA:CR45350 antisense RNA:CR45350
CCUGCAAAGGUAAUUUCGUUUGUUCAGGAUUUCCGGAUGCAACUAUAACUUUAGGCUUAAACGUUGUGUGUGUCUCGAAAUAAAUUGUCAGGAGGCAGUUAUCAGUAGUUGAUCAUUGCGCAGGAACAAAUCAUAACUGGAUCUGGGCAGGACGCUUGCGUUGGAAUAUAGAGUCGAUGGUGGAGAAGACGUCGCUGGACUUCUUGGCGGCGUCCACCUUGAAGUGCAGACCCCUCAGGCCGUAGUAGUCGACCAGCGGCUUUGUCUGCUUGUGAUAUGCUUCCAGUCGCUUCUUCAGAGCCUCGGCGUUGUCAUCGCUGCGACGGAUUAGGGGCUCUCCAGUGACCUGCAAGUACACAAGGUCUGCUUUCAUUUAGAGUUCUUGGAUAGCGUCCUAUAGAGAUACUUACAUCGUCCGUCAUUGGCUUCUUUGGAGGGGCAAACUCUUCGUGAUACGAACGCCCGCUGGCCUGGUGGAUCAAGCGGCCAGUGAUGCGCCUCACCAACAGACUGUCGUCGAUGGCAAACUCGAUGACAGCAUCCAAGUUGGUUUUCCUCUUGUCCAGCAAUGUGUCGAGCUGCAAAGUGCGUUUCGAACGGAUUAUAACCUAAAGUCCAAAGUGCUUCACACGUGUGGCUACCUUCUCAGCUUGAACGACAGUCCUGGGGAAUCCGUCCAGGAGGAAUCCAUUCUUGCACUCGGGCUUGUCCAGGUUGGAGUCGAUCAUGUCCACGACCAGGUCGUCGGAGACCAGUUUGCCGGCAUCCAUGACCUUCUUCAACUCGGCUCCCAGCUUCGAACCGGAUGAAAUCUCCGCCCGCAGCAUGUCGCCGGUCGACAGGUGGCACACGCAGAACUUCUCCUUCAGCAGGGGAGCCUGAAAUGGGCAUAAUUAAAAACAUUGAUAAGUUUCAGUUAGAGCUAAUCAAUUAAUCAAUUUAGCACCAUAUCGGAAGGUAAGCAAGGUAACCAAUCGGCUAGAUAAGAUGCAUUUCUUGAGGCCAGGAAUGUUCUGGUAGCCUUUUAAUAGAUGGUCUGCAUAAUACCCAAUCGAUUGCCUAAAGGUGUUCCACUUAAUUCGCCACAUCUCGCCAAGGCUUUGAUUUGAUUCAGGGUCAAGAGAAAGACACUGCUUGACGCAUAUGUACAUACUUGGCACGUAGAUACAUACAUAUACAUUUCCAUGUACACAUCGUCUUAUAUAACUUCACCAGUUUUAAUUCUCUUCCAAGAGAAUUAACGAGCUUCACCGAUUAUUUGCAAACAAAAACCGCGCACUUGAACACGUUGUAUUUAUUUAUAGACUACAUGGCGUCCGUGUCACAAAAAACACAUCAUUAUGUAAUUUUGACCCACCUGCGUUCCUUUGCCGGAACCCGGCGGCCCCAGGAGAAUGGCGUUGAUCCCGAUGUUCUCAGGCUCAUAUCGCUCCACUGGUACUGCUGCAUUCGGCGCCAUCGUUAACUACGUAUGCUCGACUGAUUAUUCGGGACUGCUCCUAAUUCAUAGCCAAACGGAGCCAGAAAUGAAGGUUAAAGAUAAGAAACAAGAGGCGAAAUCAUUCACACGAAACACCCUGUGCGGCAUAUUCCCACUCUGUUGCUUCUCGCCUAUCGAUAACAUUCUUACAUCGUUUUGAUAUUUUAAAUGGUGAUAGGUGUGGGCUGUCUUUUAUCUUU